rnacentral:rRNA from 1 species
CAGCCGCCGCGGUAAUACGAAGGGUGCAAGCGUUACUCGGAAUUACUGGGCGUAAAGCGUGCGUAGGUGGUGGUUUAAGUCCGUUGUGAAAGCCCUGGGCUCAACCUGGGAAUUGCAGUGGAUACUGGGUCACUAGAGUGUGGUAGAGGAUAGUGGAAUUUCCGGUGUAGCAGUGAAAUGCGUAGAGAUCGGAAGGAACAUCUGUGGCGAAGGCGACUAUCUGGGCCAACACUGACACUGAGGCACGAAAGCGUGGGGAGCAAACAGGAUUAGAUACCCGAGUAGUCCCUGUCUCAUAUAC